CUUCAUACUUUGAUUUCUUUAGGAUCUAAGUUAUUGGGUUCUAUGUUGCUCAUUUGUAAAUUCCCUAACUUCUGAAUACUAUGUUAGACAAAUUACUGAUUUUGCCUCUGCUGAAAUAAUUAAACUUUAGGCACCCAAAAAUUAAUAUUGCACAUUUCGCAUAUAUUCUGCAAAUUGAAGCAUUUUUGUGUACAACUCACCCACAAAAAUAAGUUUCAGGAAAAUUUAUUGUGCAAAUAAUUUGUACCCUUGGCAAGUUUAGGCUCUUACAACAAGUUUGAAUGCAUAUUGAAAUUGAAAAAAAAAAAAGUUAUAAAGGUAUUGCUUAUAGCCUGGAAAAGAUUUGAGGUGGGUGUUUAUACUUCUUAUGCUUCAUAUUUCCAAACUUUGUUAAAAAAUUCCUAAGUUUUGCUAAAAACAAUACUACACUCAGGUUUUUUACCCAAAAAUAAUUCAACAUAUCCGGCCUAUAUAUCCUGCAAUAUAGGAUUCCUGCUAAACCCACCUUUAUUUGUAGGUUAAAACACUAAUCCAGUGGUGAAGUAAUAAUAGACUAGAGUAAAUAUGGUAUUCUUGGUCACUGUUGAAUAUAACAUUUUAGGGAUGCUUUUAGGCAAGUUUAGGAACUUUCAAAAAAAUUAAAUAUUUAUAAAACUUCCAAAAUUUGUCUUUGAACACGUAGGUAUUCUUUUUGGAAAGACAGACAUCACAAAUACUUGGCGUUUCACAGUAUCACCUGAUUUUUUUAUCAAAACUUCAUAAAAUGGUCAGCCAUAAUCUAACACAGCCAUUAUCAGCAUUUCCAAAAAAAUGUUGACAGAGUAAACUGCAAACAUUAAUUUGUGAAAAAUGAAUCACUAAAACUAAUAUAUAUUUAUAUAAUUUAUUAUAGUCUUAUUUUGGUUAAUAGUAUUUACUUCACAUUAUUUUUAAGGGAAACUAGACGUCUAUGGUUCUUCUAUGAUUUUACAGAAUUUGUAUCAUGAAAAUUUUUAGAACUUUCUAGGUAGAUCCCAAGUUUUUAUACUUUUUAUAACUGUGUGUAAAUCUGUAUAUUUUUGUUAUUUAUUCAGGUGUAAUUAAAUUGAAGUAUAUCUAAAUUGCGUUAUUUGUCGCCCAUAUUUAAUACUUUUCAGACCAGGUUACUUUAACCCCUUUUUUAUAUAAGAACAAUGUUAUAAGAACAUGAACCUUAGACUCACAAUCCCAGACUCAAAUCAUUGUUUUUACAACUAAAACUACUCAAGAAAUGGAAUAGUCAAAAAGCCUCAAAAAGCGGUUAAGUCACAUAGUUUUGCGCAAUUAUUCAAUCAUUUAUCCUGUUUUUAAAUUGGAAAUCUCAGCCUUGGGUCGACCAUUGGACGUUUUGCUCUGUGGAAAGUUUCUCUUGACAAGGCGGAAAUCUUCAAGCCUUGAGGCUUCUUGUUAAAUUUUGUUUUUUGUUUUUAACAA